GUCUACGGCCAUACCACUCUGGCAACGCCCGAUCUCGUCUGAUCUCGGAAGCUAAGCAGGGUCGGGCCUGGUUAGUACUUGGAUGGGAGACCUCCUGGGAAUACCGGGUGCCGUAGGCU
rnacentral:rRNA from 1 species